rnacentral:rRNA from 1 species
UACGUAGGGUGCGAGCGUUAAUCGGAAUUACUGGGCGUAAAGCGUGCGCAGGCGGUUUUGUAAGCCAGAUGUGAAAUCCCCGGGCUCAACCUGGGAACUGCAUUUGUGACUGCAAGGCUGGAGUGCGGCAGAGGGGGAUGGAAUUCCGCGUGUAGCAGUGAAAUGCGUAGAUAUGCGGAGGAACACCGAUGGCGAAGGCAAUCCCCUGGGCCUGCACUGACGCUCAUGCACGAAAGCGUGGGGAGCAAACAGG